AUUGAACGCUGGCGGCAUGCCUUACACAUGCAAGUCGAACGGCAGCAUGGAAGAGCUUGCUCUUCUGAUGGCGAGUGGCGAACGGGUGAGUAAAGCAUCGGAACGUACCGUGUAGUGGGGGAUAACGUAGCGAAAGUUACGCUAAUACCGCAUACGCACUGAGGUGGAAAGCAGGGGAUCGCAAGACCUUGCGCUAUACGAGCGGCCGAUGUCAGAUUAGCUAGUUGGUAGGGUAAAGGCCUACCAAGGCGACGAUCUGUAGCGGGUCUGAGAGGAUGAUCCGCCACACUGGGACUGAGACACGGCCCAGACUCCUACGGGAGGCAGCAGUGGGGAAUUUGGACAAUGGGGGCAACCCUGAUCCAGCCAUGCCGCGUGAGUGAAGAAGGCCUUCGGUUGGUAAGACGUCUUUCGGCUGGGAAGGAAAGUACGCACAGGCUAAUACUCUGUGUGGAUGACGGUACCAGCACAAGAAGCACCC
rnacentral:rRNA from 1 species